UUUCCCUCUUUUAUACAAACCCGGUUGUACCGGGUAUUAAAUACGGAACCCGGGUUUCAUACCCGGGUCCGGACCGGAUGUACCGGUUAUUAUCAUUGCGGGUUUCGGCCCGGAUUUGACCCGGGCCGAAAACCGGAACCGGAAUCCGGUUAUCCAGAUUUCCGGGCCGGGCCGGAUAAAAUCCGGCCCGUAUGAACAGCCCUAAAUUUCUUUCAACCCAGUUUACAUGCUUUCCCCCGUGAUUUGCAGGGCUUUGUGUGGUCCAUUCUCAGGCACGCGAAAGCAAAAAGGUACCAAUUAGAAAGGUGUCUUUACCCGCAUAAUAUGUGGGGCCGGCCUUCUUUGGUCCAUAGCCAUUCGUUAUCUUUCUGUGAAGCUUUGAUGGGUAAGUUGAAAAACUGUGUUCCAUGAAUCCUGUUUUGUAGUUUCCAUGAUUGUUAAAAUGUACAAGCUGCAAUUUCUGUGUGCAGGACUAAAGAUAUUGUCUCUGGUUCUGGAAUGAUGUUCGAAGCUUUGAACAACUGAUACGUCCCUUACAUGGGUAUAAUCGAGUUGGAGCAAGAAGUGACCUCAAGUUUUAUUUGUUUGAUUUUUACUUGACGCUGUCCUGUCUUAGCGCAGCAAGGAAAUCACCAAGCGGUCGAUUAGUAACUUGGUGACUUCCUGUUGAGUGAGGAAAUCAUCAUUCAAAGCUUUAAUUUGUUGGUA